ACGUCUCUACUGCGCUCGCAUUUUCUCUCUCUCUCACGUUUCUCUCUCUCGCUCGGCUCUCUCUCACUCGCUGCUGCGCGCUGCUGUUCCCGCGCCGGCCGUCGCCGCCAGAGCGCCGCGCCGCCGCGCCACCGUCUGCCGCGCGCCGUCGUCGCGCCGAGCCAGCGCGCGUCGCCGCCGUGCGUCGCCGCCGCUGCGCCGCGCACCGCCCGCCGUGCGUCGCCUCUGCGCCAAGCCACCGCUGUCGCCGGCUGCUGCGCGCCGCCGGCCGUCGCCGCCUGCUGCUGCCCUCUCUCUCUCUGUGUGGCUUGAUCAAAGAAGAAGCAAGCAAGCAGAGCCAGCCGAAGAGAACCAGGAAGAAGAAGCCAGGAAGGAAGAAGGAGAAAAGAAAAGAAAAGAAAAGAGAAAAAAAAAGAAAAAAAGGGGAAGAAAAAAAAAGGAAAAAGAAGAAAAAAAAGGAAAAGUUGGAAAUUUCGGGAUUUCGUCGGAUUCGUCGUCAAUCUUUCGAAGGCGAUUUCUCGGUGGUACUAUUUUCGGACGUUCUUGAUUGAAUUUUCUUCAUCGUCGGUAAAGGCAAGUGAAUGUAUUGUAUGUUUAGAUGUUGUCGUGCAUUUUGGGGAUGGAUCUUGGUAGCUGCACACACUACCUUAUCACGAUGUCGAUAGCUCAACCGGUGUAUACAAGUGGUGUGUCUGAUGGUCCGUCGUUUGUUUUGGUUUAUGUUGUGGCACGACGCUGGUAGCGUCGUGGCGGACUCUAUAUAUAUGCUGUUUAUAUCUGCUUCUGCCUGUCUGUGAUAUUUCUUUUGGUCAGCUAUACCUCUCUAUAGAGGAAAUACUGCCAAAAUUUUCUUUUUUUCAAAUAAAUAAGCUUGGUUGUAAA